rnacentral:rRNA from 1 species
GAUCAUGGCUCAGGAUGAACGCUAGCUACAGGCUUAACACAUGCAAGUCGAGGGGCAGCGCAGUGUAGCAAUACAUGGGCGGCGACCGGCGCACGGGUGCGUAACGCGUAUCCAACCUUCCCGUUACUCUUGGAUAGCCUUCCGAAAGGGAGAUUAAUACAAGAUGGUAUUCAAAUUCCGCAUGUUAUUUGAAUUAAAGAUUUAUCGGUAACGGAUGGGGAUGCGUGACAUUAGAUAGUAGGCGGGGUAACGGCCCACCUAGUCUACGAUGUCUAGGGGUUCUGAGAGGAAGGUCCCCCACACUGGAACUGAGACACGGUCCAGACUCCUACGGGAGGCAGCAGUGAGGAAUAUUGGUCAAUGGUCUGACGACUGAACCAGCCAUGCCGCGUGAAGGUGACGGCCCUAUGGGUCUUAAACUUCUUUUGUAAGGGAGCAAUAAGAGCUACGUGUAGUUCGAUGAGAGUACCUUACGAAUAAGCAUCGGCUAACUCCGUG